rnacentral:lncRNA from 1 species
AAAUCUAAAUGAGAAAGUUAAAGUUAUUUAGUGGCACACGUGAAAUCAAUGCUGGAACACACAAAUGUUUGUGUUAGGAAUCCACAAGAGAAAAGACACACUGUGGAUCUUCUGGACUGCAAGACCCGGCUUAUGAAAGCCAAUACUGGACUUCAGAUGGCCCUAAACGCCUGUGAGGAUUCCAAAAUUGACCUGGAAAAUGAGGUCACUUCCCUUAAGAAUCAGAUGAAAAGUAUGACGCAGGCCCUCCAUGGUUCGGAGAAGGUUAGGGAGGAAAUGGAUGAGCUCCAGGCAGCACUAGCCGAGAGUGAGAAGAUUAAUCACUGCCUCAAUGCAUCUUAUUAUAAACUGGAGAUACGAAACGAAACCUUGAGUCACCAGAUUGAAGCCAUCACUCAGGAGAUUUCUGACAUUUUGCCUGAGAGGGAGAUGGACAAAAGAAAGAUCAAAACUUUGAGUCAGCAUAUCCAGGUUUUACAGCAACAACUGGAGGAAGCAAAAAGGAUGCUUGAUGAAAGAGAUGGAAUCAUUUACAACAAAGAUGUAGUGAUUAAUCAGCAAAAAGCAUCCAUGGAUGAGUUGACCACCAUUGGACAGGUACACCCUGACACACUACUUAUAUUCAUUUUGCUUCACAGUCGUUUUGAUACCAGAUAUGAAUUAUCCUGGUGUUUCAUUUUGCAUUUCUUAGGGUCUGAGAGAGGAAGUCAAGAACUUGGAGGACCAGUUGGAAUUAGCACUGGUUAAUGAAGAGGGCAGUUUCCUGCACCCGGAUGGCACUUUCUCUGUGGCCACAGAGAACCGCCUCUCUCUAGCUGAAGAGCUCGGGCUGAUGGCUGGAUUUCAAGUGAGUUUUCAAGACCUCAUGUAAAAUUGCAGCCCUUUAAUACUAUUAAAUG